UCCCUUGUGACUCAGACAGUAAAGAAUCUGCCUGCAAUGCAGAAGACCCAGGUUCAAUUCCUGGGUCGGGGAG
rnacentral:tRNA from 1 species